rnacentral:rRNA from 1 species
GACGAACGCUGGCGGCGUGCUUAACACAUGCAAGUCGAACGAAGUGGCGAACGGGUGAGUAACGCGUCAUCAACCUGCCCUUCAGAGGGGGACAACAGUUGGAAACGACUGCUAAUACCGCAUACUGAAGGAGGGGAUUGCGUCUGAUUAGCUAGUUGGAGGGGUAACGGCCCACCAAGGCGAUGAUCCGUAGACGGGCUGGGAGGAAGAACGGCAACAUUGGGACUGAGAAACGGCCCAGACGCCUACGGGAGGCAGCAGUGGGGAAUCGUCCGAAAUUGACGAAAGUCUGACGGAGCAACGCCGCGUGAGUGAUGACGGCCUUCGGGUUGUAAAGCUCUGUUAAUCGGGACGCGGUACCGGAAUAGAAAGCCACGGCUAACUACGUGCCAGCCGCCGCGGUAAUUC